GACGAACCGUACGAACGUUAUUCGGAAUCACUGGGCUUAAAGGGUGCGUAGGCUGCGCAGCAAGUUGGGUGUGAAAUCCCUCGGCUUAACCGAGGAACUGUGCCCAAAACUGCUGUGCUCGAGGGAGAUAGAGGUGAGCGGAACUUAGGGUGGAGCGGUGAAAUGCGUUGAUAUCCUAAGGAACACCGGUGGCGAAAGCGGCUCACUGGAUCUCUUCUGACGCUGAGGCACGAAAGCUAGGGUAGCGAACGGG
rnacentral:rRNA from 1 species